GCUUAACACAUGCAAGUCGAGGGGAAACGACAUCGAAAGCUUGCUUUUGAUGGGCGUCGACCGGCGCACGGGUGAGUAACGCGUAUCCAACCUGCCCAUCACUUGGGGAUAACCUUGCGAAAGUAAGACUAAUACCCAAUGACGUCUCUAGAAGACAUCUGAAGGAGAUUAAAGAUUUAUCGGUGAUGGAUGGGGAUGCGUCUGAUUAGCUUGUUGGCGGGGUAACGGCCCACCAAGGCGACGAUCAGUAGGGGUUCUGAGAGGAAGGUCCCCCACAUUGGAACUGAGACACGGUCCAAACUCCUACGGGAGGCAGCAGUGAGGAAUAUUGGUCAAUGGGCGAGAGCCUGAACCAGCCAAGUAGCGUGCAGGAUGACGGCCCUAUGGGUUGUAAACUGCUUUUAUAAGGGAAUAAAGUGAGUCUCGUGAGACUUUUUGCAUGUACCUUAUGAAUAAGGACCGGCUAAUUCCGUGCCAGCAGCCGCGGUAAUACGGAAGGUCCGGGCGUUAUCCGGAUUUAUUGGGUUUAAAGGGAGCGUAGGCCGGAGAUUAAGCGUGUUGUGAAAUGUAGACGCUCAACGUCUGCACUGCAGCGCGAACUGGUUUCCUUGAGUACGCACAAAGUGGGCGGAAUUCGUGGUGUAGCGGUGAAAUGCUUAGAUAUCACGAAGAACUCCGAUUGCGAAGGCAGCUCACUGGAGCGCAACUGACGCUGAAGCUCGAAAGUGCGGGUAUCGAACAGGAUUAGAUACCCUGGUAGUCCGCACGGUAAACGAUGGAUGCCCGCUGUUGGUCUGAAUAGGUCAGCGGCCAAGCGAAAGCAUUAAGCAUCCCACCUGGGGAGUACGCCGGCAACGGUGAAACUCAAAUGAAUUUGAC
rnacentral:rRNA from 1 species